rnacentral:rRNA from 1 species
CCUACGGGAGGCAGCAGUGGGUAAUAUUGGACAAUGGGGGCAACCCUGAUCCAGCCAUGCCGCGUGUGUGAAGAAGGCCCUCGGGUUGUAAAGCACUUUCAGUGAGGAAGAACGCCUGGUGGUUAAUACCCAUCAGGAAAGACAUCACUCACAGAAGAAGCACCGGCUAACUCCGUGCCAGCAGCCGCGGUAAUACGGAGGGUGCGAGCGUUAAUCGGAAUUACUGGGCGUAAAGCGCGCGUAGGUGGCUUGAUAAGCCGGUUGUGAAAGCCCCGGGCUCAACCUGGGAACGGCAUCCGGAACUGUCAAGCUAGAGUGCAGGAGAGGAAGGUAGAAUUCCCGGUGUAGCGGUGAAAUGCGUAGAGAUCGGGAGGAAUACCAGUGGCGAAGGCGGCCUUCUGGACUGACACUGACACUGAGGUGCGAAAGCGUGGGUAGCAAACAGGAUUAGAUACCCCAGUAGUC